rnacentral:rRNA from 1 species
UGUCUGAUUAGUUAGUUGGUGAGGUAAAGGCUUACCAAGGCUUCGAUCAGUAGCUGGUCUGAGAGGACGACCAGCCACACUGGGACUGAGACACGGCCCAGACUCCUACGGGAGGCAGCAGUGGGGAAUUUUGGACAAUGGGGGCAACCCUGAUCCAGCCAUGCCGCGUGAGUGAAGAAGGCCUUCGGGUUGUAAAGCUCUUUCAGCCGGAACGAAACGGUCACGGUUAAUAACUGUGAUCACUGACGGUACCGGAAGAAGAAGCACCGGCUAACUACGUGCCAGCAGCCGCGGUAAUACGUAGGGUGCGAGCGUUAAUCGGAAUUACUGGGCGUAAAGCGUGCGCAGGCGGUUUUGUAAGUCAGAUGUGAAAUCCCCGGGCUCAACCUGGGAACUGCGUUUGU